CCCUUAGAUGUUCUUGGCUGCACGCGCGCUACACUGAUGCACUCAACGAGUUUACGACCUUGCCCGAUAGGGUUGGGUAAUCUUUUUAAAAUGCAUCGUGAUGGGGAUAGAUUAUUGCAAUUAUUAAUCUUCAACGAGGAAUUCCCAGUAAGCGCGAGUCAUCAGCUCGUGCUGAUUACGUCCCUGCCCUUUGUACACACCGCCCGUCGCUCCUACCGAUUGAGUGCUCAGGUGAAUAAUUCGGACUGCAGCAAUGUUUGGAUCCCGAACGUUGCAGCGGAAAGUUUAGUGAACCUUAUCACUUAGAGGAAGGAGAAGUCGUAACA
rnacentral:rRNA from 1 species